CUCGUUCAUGUUUGUUUAUCAUUUCGAAUCAUUGCCAGUCGGCUGUUUACAAUUUACUUCGUGUUAGGAGUUUGCCGUUAUAGUAGUGUUAAUUUAUAUGUCGCGUUGAAGUGGGUUGUUUUAUUGUCUUGUCUUUACGUGAUAGGGUUUGAUUCGUUUUGCAUGAUUUAAUGUUGCUAUUGUUUGCAUAUUCUAGAAUUAAGUAUGUAGUUAACCUGCCUGUUGGGUUGGUCGUAAACUUUAGCAACCCUCAACAAUUGAUCAUUCGACCUCAACACCUCAACAAUUGAUCAUUCGUAUUCUACAAUGAUCAUUUGACCUCAAUAUUGUUGUAAUCAAUUGAUUAUUGGACCUCAACAUUGCUAUAUCAAUUUAUUCAAACUUCUACAAUACUGGAAUCAUUUGUUUUAUCACCACACAAUUUCGUAUUUCACGUGACUGCAAUAGAUUUCAAUCAUAUUCAAGUUGUGGAGUUGUUAACAUCGAGAAACCAGGCAGGUUAUACAUGAAAGAAAGUUAAGAGCGCGAAGUGUCACCGCCCAACACGUUAUAGGCUUCUUGUAGAGCCUCAUCAUAAGUACUAAGUCGCUUAUAAUCCUGUAAUCUACAAGUACGUCAGAUUCAGUAGUUGGGGUAUUUGAAUUAGAAAUGUCCUGAGUAUCGGGAGUGAAAAUCUCUUCAUGAGCCGGCGUAACUCUAUCAAUAGAAACAGUGCUGCUUUUGAGGCUGGGUGAUAGCUAGUUGUUGAAUGUGUUGAGAACCGAGAAAUUGCAUUGCUUCUUGCCAUAGAACACUUUGAAAACAAUCUCCACGGUCACUGGUGAUGAUUGCAGGUUCAUUGUACAGGUUUUGAAUGUCCGGAUCCCUACAUUGUUCCAAAGCGAUGUCAGACAAGGUAUUGCCAAGUCACCGUGUUCCUGGUCACGUACUUACUCCAAAUAUGAGAUGUAAAAAGUUGUUCUCAAGUGGAUAAUUUGGUUUUAACCAGAUAUUUCAAAUUUACGUUAUUAAAAUAUUACUGGAAAUAAAUUUUAUUUUUACAUGGGAUGGCACCGAAAGGCUAUUAAAACUUGAAAUUGGAUUUUGAGAAAUUGAUAAUUGCUAUAACGGGAAUAAUUAAUUCUGUUUUUCAUGAGUUUCUCACGAAUUGGGCCAAUUUGGUGUAAUUUUGUAUUUACAUAAUAACUAAUUGGCUACAUUGUAUUUGUUGUGAAUUCAAUCAUACAAAGUGUGUAUAUUUAAUUUUUUGCUUUAAAGUAAUCAGAUACAUUGUAAAAUAGGUUUUCACCAAGUGCCUGAAAUUAUACAAGUGCCUGAUUUCUAUAUUUUGUAAUCAAUGUUGCCGAAUUUCACUAUUGAAAAAUUAAUUAUACCCUAAUAAAUUGGAAAUAAUAUUGUUUUAUUGCAAUAUAUGGAUGCGAAAAUUUAUUUAAAGUCUAAUUAUUUUGUCAAGUAAAUUAAAAACCCCAAUGACGGACAGUAAAAAUAAAAAAUAUCAAAGUGCCUGAAAAAGUGCCUAAAUUCGCAAGUGCAUGGUUUUAGGGAGACCCUUCAGAAAGACGUACGGUACGGGACACGGGUGGGUUACUGCACAUCUGUGAAGUUAACAGAAAAUCACGACACGUAAAAACAAAUGUUCCCAAUCAUUUUGUGCUGGGAACAUUGAGGUGUAUCUCAAUGGCUGGGAAGUGUAUAUUUUGAGUGAUUUAACGAUAGCUAUUAAAGUAAAACAAUUAGUCAUCACACUAUUCAUCUUUUUAAUAUAUAGUAACAUUUUAAAACAACUGUAACAGUCCCAAUUUUAAAUGACACGCUGUAUCAAAGGGUUGUUUAAAAUUGAUUGAAUUUCGAUAAUGACUCGCUUUGGCGCAGGUAUUUUUCGGAAAACUCCAAUAAAGCCAGCAUAACGAUAUAUUGGGUAAAAAGAAGAACGGCAAAUUUAUCUCUUAUACUUCGCCCAUUCAUACUAUAUGGUCUCACCACUCAAAGGCGCUGUAUUUGCGCCUAAAUUUUGAUUUCACUGUUAUGUAUAUGUUUAUUUGGUGUUGUGUUGUCUCUAUUUAUAUAUAUUGUCUGGUCUUAUAAACUCCCCUAUAUUAAGAGUUUUGUAUACUCCACCCAUACCACUUUCACCACACCAAACGACCCAUUGCCCCACCUUGCACAACUGUCUAUAUAA